rnacentral:rRNA from 1 species
GACGAACGCUGGCGGCGUGCCUAAUACAUGCAAGUAGAACGCUGAAGGAGGAGCUUGCUCUUCUGGAUGAGUUGCGAACGGGUGAGUAACGCGUAGGUAACCUGCCUGGUAGCGGGGGAUAACUAUUGGAAACGAUAGCUAAUACCGCAUAACAGUAGAUGUUGCAUGACAUUUGCUUAAAAGGUGCAAUUGCACCACUACCAGAUGGACCUGCGUUGUAUUAGCUAGUUGGUGGGGUAACGGCUCACCAAGGCGACGAUACAUAGCCGACCUGAGAGGGAGAUCGGCCACACUGGGACUGAGACACGGCCCAGACUCCUACGGGAGGCAGCAGUAGGGAAUCUUCGGCAAUGGACGGAAGUCUGACCGAGCAACGCCGCGUGAGUGAAGAAGGUUUUCGGAUCGUAAAGCUCUGUUGUAAGAGAAGAACGAGUGUGAGAGUGGAAAGUUCACACUGUGACGGUAUCUUACCAGAAAGGGACGGCUAACUACGUG